UUUAUUAAACCAAUGAUUAAUGACAUUAACGUGUCUUCUUCACUAAAAUGUCUUGAGAUCUCUAUCCAUCCCAUCACUCUCCAGAGGCUAAUUCACACUCUAUCGGGCAAGCAAGAACCUCAUCCCCAUCUGAACUUUUUUUUUUUUAAACUGACUUAUAAAAGGUAAAGCUAAAUGGCGGUGGCCUUCCAUGGAGGCCGGAACGGCGUCGGAUCGGGACUCCGCAGUUUCUUCUCGUACCGGAUCUUCAUCUCCGCCUUGUUCUCUUUCCUCUUCCUCGCCACCUUCUCCGUUGUCCUCAACUCCUCUCGUCACCAACCUCAUCUCGAUCACGUAAGCUUCCGAUUCGUUUCACAAUCCGAAUCAAAAUUUAGAAAUGAAUUUAGAAUCUGAGCUUCGAUUUUUGGUGUUUAGACAUUGCCGAGGACGUUUCAAUCGGAUCCGUUGAAAGCUAGGUUAGAUCUGAUCCACAAGCAAGCCACCGAUCACCUCACGCUUGUGAACGCUUACGCUGCUUACGCUAGGAAGCUCAAGCUCGACGCGUCGAAGCAGCUGAAGCUCUUCGAAGAUCUGGCGGUUAACUUCUCCGAUCUGCAGGCCAAACCUGGACUGAAGCUCGAAAACGGGAACGCGAUCGAGGAGGAUGCGUUUCGGCAGAUCGAGAAAGAGGUUAAAGAUAAGGUGAAGACCGCGAGGAUGAUGAUCGUUGAGUCCAAAGAGAGUUACGAUACACAGCUCAAGAUCCAGAAGCUCAAGGAUACGAUCUUCGCUGUUCAAGAACAGUUGACGAAAGCUAAGAAAAACGGCGCCGUUGCGAGCUUGAUCUCGGCUAAGUCGGUUCCCAAGAGUCUUAACUGUUUGGCUAUGAGGCUUGUUGGUGAGAGGAUCUCUAACCCUGAGAAGUAUAAGGAUGCUCCGUUUGAUUCGGCUGUGUUGGAGGAUCCGAGUCUUUAUCACUACGCGGUUUUCUCUGAUAAUGUGAUUGCUGUUUCCGUUGUGGUGAGGUCGGUUGUGGUGAACGCUGAGGAGCCGUGGAAGCAUGUGUUUCAUGUGGUGACUGAUAGGAUGAAUCUCGCCGCUAUGAAGGUUUGGUUUAAGAUGCGUCCUUUGGACCGUGGUGCUCGUGUUGAGAUUAAGUCGGUUGAGGAGUUUAAGUUCUUGAACUCUUCGUAUGCGCCGGUCUUGAGGCAGUUAGAGUCUGCUAAGUUGCAGAAGUUUUACUUUGAGAACCAGGCGGAGAACUCGACUAGAGAUGAACAUAACAUCAAGUUCAAGAACCCCAAGUAUCUCUCGGUGUUGAACCAUCUGAGAUUCUACUUACCGGAGAUGUAUCCGAAGCUGAAUAAGAUCUUGUUCUUGGACGAUGAUGUUGUGGUGCAGAAGGACGUGACUGGGUUGUGGAAGAUUAAUUUAGAUGGGAAGGUGAAUGGAGCUGUUGAGACGUGCUUUGGCUCUUUUCAUCGAUAUGGUCAAUACCUAAACUUCACUCAUCCUCUGAUCAAAGAGAGCUUUAACCCCAAUGCUUGUGCUUGGGCCUUUGGGAUGAAUAUAUUUGAUCUCAAUGCUUGGAGGCGCGAGAAAUGCACAGAUCAAUACCAUUACUGGCAGAACUUGGUAAGCCCCAUAUCUUUCUUAGUAACUUAUGCAUUUCAAAAAAUCUCUUUUAUCUUGUGUUGAUUGUGUGCUAAUCUCUGAGCAGAAUGAAGACAGAAGUCUCUGGAAAUUAGGCACUCUGCCUCCGGGACUGAUGACAUUCUAUUCAAAGACGAAAUCACUGGACAAGUCCUGGCAUGUGCUUGGGUUAGGCUACAACCCGGGAGUGAGCAUGGACGAGAUAAAAAAAGCAGCAGUGAUACAUUACAAUGGGAACAUGAAACCAUGGCUAGACAUUGCUAUGAACCAAUACAAGUCUCUCUGGACUAAAUACGUCGACAACGAAAUGGAGUUUGUGCAGAUGUGCAAUUUUGGUCUUUAAAGAAAGAUAUCGAUGAAGAGGUAACCUCAAAUCGAUAUAUGUUCAGUCAUUCAGGGCAUUCUUUAGCUUAUAUACGUUUAUCUUUUAUAUAUUAUAUAGGGUUACAAAAGUGUUUUGCUUUGUUCUUUCUGUCAUAGUUUUGUUCUUUAUUUAUAUUUUGUGUAACUCUUUCACAUCAAAAGCUUUAUCCAAAACUACAAUGUGUUAAGGUUUGUUUCAUGCAAAGUUUUGACUUAUGAUUGAAACAUUAAAGAGAAAUGGAUUAGGAAGAUAAUGAAUUUUUAUCAUAUGUUGAUUUAGUUUCAUUUUAUUACUAAAAUCAUGAUGAGCUAACUACUUUACAAAACACAAUAAGAUUUUAUCAUAUGUUUGUAUAUCUACAAAAAUAGUUAGAAAUUCAACAAAGUUGUUAUGACCGUUUCUCACCGCAAGACAGAAACUCAAAGAUCCUGUCUCGAGUCAAUGUACGUCCAAACUGCACAAACCCAUCGCACCUUCCGGUCUCUCUGUCUAGGUCAACGAGCGUUGACUUCAAUUUCUCCAGUUCCUCCUCCAUCCCUCCCAUAGCAAAUGCCACAGACGACCGUUUAUUCACGGCGAUGUCCACCGUUAGUCUAAUGGAUCUCUCCACCGCCUCCAACAUACUCACAAGUCUGCUCAUCUUCUCAACCUCCUUGAGAGCCACCAUCGUUUCCCUCUCCAUCGACGUCACUGCUGUCUUUUCCCGUUUCAGAGUUUCCGACGACUCUCUCCACCUCGAAGCAGCAAAGUUAGUCACUGCUUCAACCGGUACAGGUACAAAGAUACCCGCCACGAUUUUUCCCACGGCCACUAGAGCGAUCAUCGCCGCCGCAACCUUGAUCCUUGGAUGCUGUCUUUAUGGAGUACAUUAUAUCAGAUCAAUCCAAAAUACUUUCCUAAAGGUCCAGAUGUGAUGAUUCCUCAAGAUGAAUUAACUGAUCAGCCCAAAUAUAGGAUCUUAUAUCAUAAGCAGGAGACACUGGAGCCUGAAUUGAUGGCAGAGUCAGGUACACCAAGUUUUUAUUCCUAUCAUGUUUUUAAGGAGGGGAUUCAUGGUGUGGAUACUUUGCUCCAUCAUGUUAGCUUAGGACUAUGUUAUGCUACUUAACAGUGAACUUUCUGUCUAGUUAAUAAUGGUAAUUGCUAGAAAAAUGUCAAUGUAGAGAAAUGACUUUUAAUGUUCUGGUUCAGUUGGCUCGUGAACUCUUGCAUAAUAUGCCUCUUAUUGUUUUAGCAGACAUCAUAGAAAGAGCCCGUGGAAUGUCACCCGGAAAAUUAUCCAAGGACAAAACUAAACCAGACUGCUUUCUCAAGAUGGUACUAUGCACAUCCAUUAUAUUUUUUUUUUGAUUUUAUGUUAUAUAUGCUAUGCAACCUUGCUGGUUAUGCUAUUUUUUUAUGCUGUGUUACCUUGAAUACGGAUUUGAUGGUCCUUCUUGGUCAAAAUAUGUUUUCUUAAAAUAUCUUAUUUCUGGUAAGCCUGGAUGAUAUGAGUUUUAUUCCCUUGGCUUGCAUUUAAAUAUUUCAAUCAUGCAGAUUAAAAAUGAAGUCUUGACGAAAGCUGGAAGUACAAAGGAUGUCCGCCACUUCGAGUUCCAAUUUGUUUCUUCUGUAAGUAACUUUGCUAUCACUUACUAACUAGUUUCAAUCAAUUUCUCCUCUUUUAUGAAGUGGUUGUUCAAUUAAUUUCUCCUCUUUGUUUUUUUUUUAAUUCAUUUAAGAGUAUCAAAUAUGAAGUGGGCGAUGUUGUUGAGCUUCUUCCAAGCCAAGAUUCUUCAGCAAUAGAUGCGUUUAUAAAACGCUGUCAUUUGGACCCGGAAUCAUUCAUCACAGUAAGUAGCUCCACUCUGUUGACAUGAUGAUCCCAGAUUGUCUAACUGAAGUAAAUUUUGAUAACUAAUUUACUUUCAGGUUUGUCCGAGAGAGACAGUGAAUAAUGGUUCAUGUGGAGAAGUAAUUACACACCAUGUCCCUAUCAAGCUUAAGACUUUUGUUGAAUUAACAAUGGACGUUACAUCUGCUUCACCUCGACGAUACUUCUUCGAGGUAAGAGUCCUAAUGAUCUUGAAUAUCAGAUUUUUAUAAUGUAAUUUUAAGUAUUUGAUGGAAGUCGUUACAAUGUAUCUUCUCGGUGUCAGGUUAUGAGCUUCUAUGCAACAGCUGAACUUGAGAAGGAAAGACUGCAAUACUUUGCCUCAGCCGAGGGACGUGAUGACCUCUACAAUUACAAUCAGAAGGAAAGAAAAAGCGUCCUUGAGGUAACCAAUUGGGGACACCAUGAUUCGUCUUGAACCAAAUAGAUCUUAUUGCUACUGCCUAUGUAGGUGCUAGAGGAUUUCUCUUCCGUGCAAAUGCCUUUUGAGUGGCUAGUACAGUUAGUACCAUCGCUAAAACCACGAGCUUUUUCGAUAUCUUCAUCUCCUUUGGCCCACCCUGGUCAAGUACAUUUGACAGUAAGCGUGGUAUCAUGGAUCACCCCUUCAUACCCUUAUAAGAGAACUCGAAAAGGUCUAUGCUCCUCUUGGCUCGCAAGCCUCACACCUGAGCAAGGUUAGCACUGUGUUUCUAUGUAUUAUUUUAACUGACUCAGGUCUUUGUUUCUACGUAUUUAUCUUACAUUUUGUGUUCCGUUGUGUUUAGAGAUAAACAUACCGAUUUGGUUUCACAAAGGCUCUCUUCCUGCUCCACCACAGUCGCUUCCACUCAUCUUAGUGGGACCUGGAACCGGAUGUGCCCCUUUCCGCGGGUUCAUAGCUGAGAGAGCCGUGCAAGCUCAGACCAGCCCGAUCGCACCAGUCAUGUUCUUCUUUGGUUGCAGGAACAAAGACACUGACUUUUUAUACAAAGACUUCUGGGAGUCUCAUGCAAGAGAAGGAGGCAUGCUCUCUGAAGUAAAAGGCGGAGGGUUUUACACAGCAUUCUCUAGAGACCAACCGAAGAAGGUUUACGUGCAACACAGGAUACUAGAGAUGAGGAAGAAAGUUUGGGAUUUGCUAUGUGAUGGAGCCGCCGUUUACGUGGCGGGCUCGUCCACGAAAAUGCCUUGUGAUGUGAUGUCGGCCUUGGAGGAGAUUGUGAUGGAGGAGACCGGAGGAUCAAAGGAAAUGGCUUCACGGUGGCUCAAGGCUUUGGAGAAAGCUGGGAGAUACAAUGUUGAAGCUUGGUCUUAAACCCAACUUCCUCCAUAUCAUGUAAUGUUUGAUUACUAGCUAUACGAAUCAUUGGAUUAUUUAUUUAUUUAAAUUGAUUUUAUAAUAUUCACAUUGAACGGUUCAAAUGAAGAUGAUUUGUUUGAUUGUAUACAUUUGAACUUUAUUUAUAAUUUAAUUUUAAUUUUUUUUAUAUAACGAGGUUCUUACCUUUUUCAUUUUAACUAGAGUUUGUUGAAUAAAUCAUUCACCUCACUGAAUAAUACAAGAUUUCAGUGUUUAUAUAAAAAUCAUCAAUUAAAUAACAUCAGAUUUUAAACAGAACUGAAAAUCAACGUACAAUGUCAAUUACUCAAUUUUUUUAUUUAUUAAUUUAUUGUAUAAUAACACUUUAGUUAUUUUUCAAAUGUUUUCGAUCGGCAAAUUUAAUAGAAUAUAUUUAUUCUUCAAUUAAUCAUUGAGUGGCAAAAUUAAAAAUGAAAUAAUCAAUUGUUAUAAAAUGGACAGAAACUAUUAUUUUUCUAAAUUUGUUUAUUUUUUUAAAAAAAAUUGUGCAGUCAAAGUGUUAGUUGAUAAUAAUUCUACACAAACAAUACUUUCAAGUAUUAAAGCUGCUGGUUUCAAAUACUUUGGUAAUAAAAUGUUAAUGUCCUAAAGUAUAUAGGUGAGACUGGGGUUUUAAUAAUAUUGAGAGUUUAUAUCUACACUAUAAAUUAGUAAUUGUUUAUUAAACCAAUGAUUAAUGACAUUAACGUGUCUUCUUCACUAAAAUGUCUUGAGAUCUCUAUCCAUCCCAUCACUCUCCAGAGGCUAAUUCACACUCUAUCGGGCAAGCAAGAACCUCAUCCCCAUCUGAACUUUUUUUUUUUUAAACUGACUUAUAAAAGGUAAAGCUAAAUGGCGGUGGCCUUCCAUGGAGGCCGGAACGGCGUCGGAUCGGGACUCCGCAGUUUCUUCUCGUACCGGAUCUUCAUCUCCGCCUUGUUCUCUUUCCUCUUCCUCGCCACCUUCUCCGUUGUCCUCAACUCCUCUCGUCACCAACCUCAUCUCGAUCACGUAAGCUUCCGAUUCGUUUCACAAUCCGAAU
rnacentral:lncRNA from 1 species